GCGGAAUUCUCCACGAGUUUUGAGCAGCGUCGGUUUUCCCACCACCUCCAAAUCAUGCAAGACACAGGGUGCAGGCAGAGCCCCCGGAGCCAUGGCCAGCCCUUCCGGCAGCUCCGAAGCCACUGGCAAGCCCCGAGGCAGGGAUGGCCGGCCCAGGAGGGAGGAGGACGACGUCCCUCCCGAGGAGAAGAGGCUGCGCCUGGGGCUGGAGGGGGGAAGCGCACAGCCCGAGGACUGCGAGGACGGGGAGGACGCGCCGCGGCCGGGCAGGGAGGAGACCGGCACCCAGACAGGUGGCGACGGCAGAGGAGUGCAGCGGCUCACAUUUGUAAUCCCAGCACUUUGGAGGCGAGGCUGCGGAUCACCUAAGGUCAGUAAUUCGAGACCAGCCUGGCCAACCUGGUGAAACUGUCUCUACUAAAAAUACAGAAAUUAGCCAGGUGUGAUGGCACACACCUGUAAUCCCAGCUACUUGGGAGGCUGAGGCAGGAGAAUCGUUUGAACCUGGGAGACAGAGGUUGCAGUCAGCCGAGAUCGCACCACUGCACUUCAGCCAGCCUGGGUGACAGGGCGAGACUCUCUUUCAAAAAUAAAUAAAUACAAUAGAAUUCUGAA
rnacentral:sRNA from 1 species